rnacentral:tRNA from 1 species
UCCUGGCUGGCUCAAUCGGUAGAGCAUGUAACUCUUGAUCUUGGGGUCGUGAGUUCAAGCCUCACGUUGGGUG